UUCCAGCUUCCCCCUGUCUCCAACCCUGCCCUGCCUCGAGUCUCAUCACUGUUAGGUGACAAGAGACAGAGGUAUCCAGGUUAUACAGCAUAGACCUGCCCUAGAAGGCUCUCUGAGGAGGCAGCUUCAGCUGUUGCCAUUGGGAAUUCAUUCUGGGAGGGUACCUCUCAGAUACCUCCCUGGUGCUGUCUCUGCACUGGCCAGCCCCAUGCCUGUGUCCUGUGAUCACACCGUGGACACAUUUUCCUUGUAUCCAGCUGAGAACUAGUCUCUUUCUCCUCCAUAGCCACCACCUGAUUCUUUUUGUGCCUAGUGCUGCAGUGCCCCACUCCCCAGUCUGCUUCCUGGAUCUCCAUGGAGCAGGAGCAAGAGCAGGAGAGCGUGAAUUCAGAAGACUUGGGUUUGGUUCCAGUUUGACUCUUUUUGGUAGCGCGUGACCUUGGUUAAGUUGCUUAAAUGUUCUUAAGCCUCACCCUUCCUCACCUGUAAAGGGGAGAUAAUAAUAUCUGUGCUGCUGAUUCACUGACAUUUACUCAGCAAAUGGGAAUCGAAGUUCGAGAUGAUCCUACAUGUCUGAGUCAUCACUGACAUGACCUCGCAUUACUCUUGGACCCGAGGAUAGGCUGAGCCUGGGCUUAUUCUCAGCUUCUUACAGGUUGACACCCUGGUCCUGCUGGAUCCCAACCUACCAGUGUUCUGUGGCCAAGGAAGCUAUCGUUGUUGAAGUCUAAGAUAUCCAGAAGAAGGACAAACUGUGGUUGACAAACAGUGCUCCUUCUGUGUGCACUGGGGCUGAAGGGUGCAUUUGUGUGUGUGUGUGUGUGUGUGUGUGUGUGUGUGUGUGUGUGUGUUUUGAUGCUUGGAUGCUUCUACUAACAAGGUAGGGGGUUCUCCGAUGGAAGAUGCAGAAAGGGGACCCUGGAGGAGCAUUGAGGCUUGCAGGGUGGUGCAGGGUGGUGCAGGGUGGUGCAGGGUGGUACAGGCAGAGAUGGCGUCCUUACUCAUGAACUAACAGCACAAUGAAAGGCCAAGGCCAAGAAGCAGCCUUUGGGUGGGGAUGAAAGGGAAUGGCUUCAGGAGCUUUGGAAUGGUUAGCUACAUGGAAAACUGUUUUCUAAUGCAUACGCUCAGAGUCCCAGGGGCAGAGGAAACAGCGAUAAGGACCGUCCCCAAUCUGGAUGCACACUUGGUGUAUAACCAUGCUUAGUCUCCAGCCUCUAAUAAAAUCAGAACCUACCUAGCUGAGCCCUGAACUCAGACACAAGGACACCCCCCCCCCAACACACACACAUACACAGACACACAUACACAUACAACAAAGCUCAUCUAAAUUGACCAAUGGGGAAGCGAGACCCCCUCUGGAGGAGCCUUAGAGAUUGAUCAGAUGAGAAGGUGAGGGGGUGUGGUUAAGACCUGUCAAAAGCACAGUUCUGAACUUCAGGGGAGUCAUCAACUUUGGGUUCUCAAGACACCACCGUUCAAGGGGUUGAAAAACUAAAGUCCUGAUAAUAAAAUCGCAAGUUAUCCUGAUUUUUUUUUUCUAAUGAGGGCAGUAUCUAAAAAUAAAGUGGCUGCAUAGGGACCUCUCUAAUGCACAGAGCUUUGAGAAGGGUUCAUGUGCUCAAAAAACUUUUGACAUACUUUUAAAAUACGUGAAUUUGAAGUCGGGCAUGGUGAUACAUACCUAUAAUUCCAGCCAUGGGCAGGUGGCCUUGGAGGGCCCAAGAUCAUCCUCGGCUACAGAAUGAGUUUGAGGCCAGCUUGGGCUUCAUGAGAUCCUGUCUCAAAAAUAAAAAUCAGAAUUAAGGU
rnacentral:lncRNA from 1 species